rnacentral:rRNA from 1 species
GCUUGAAGUCAGUCGCGUUGUCCGGAACUCAGCCUUGCUUUUGCUUGGUGCACUUUCCGGAUGACGGGUCAGCAUCGAUUUUGACCGUCGGAAAAGGGCUGGAGUAAUGUGGCACCUCCGGGUGUGUUAUAGACUCUGGUCGCAUACGGCGGUUGGGAUCGAGGAACGCAGCGCGCCGCGAGGCAGGGGUUCGCCCACUUUCGCGCUUAGGAUGCUGGCAUAAUGGCUUUAAACGACCCGUCUUGAAACACGGACCAAGGAGUCUAACAUACUUGCGAGUGUUUGGGUGGAAAACCCGAGCGCGUAAUGAAAGUGAAAGUUGAGAUCCCUGUCGUGGGGAGCAUCGACGCCCGGACCAGACGUUCUCUGACGGAUCCGCGGUAGAGCAUGUAUGUUGGGACCCGAAAGAUGGUGAACUAUGCCUGAAUAGGGUGAAGCCAGAGGAAACUCUGGUGGAGGCUCGUAGCGAUUCUGACGUGCAAAUCGAUCGUCAAAUUUGGGUAUAGGGGCGAAAGACUAAUCGAACC